GACGAACGCUGGCGGCGUGCUUAACACAUGCAAGUCGAACGAAGUGGCGAACGGGUGAGUAAUACGUGGGUAACCUGCCUUCCGUUUUGGGAUAAGCCUUGGACCCGUGGUCUAAUACCGAAUAAAGGGGGAUGGGCUCGCGGCCUGUCAGCGUGUUGGUGGGGUGAUGGCCUACCAAGGCGGUGACGGGUAGCCGGCCUGAGAGGGUGACCUGCAACAUUGGGACGGGGAUACGGCCCAGACUCCUACGGGAGGGAGCAGUGGGGGAUAUGGGAGAAUGGGCGAAAGCAGGAUGCAGCGACGCCGCGUGGGGGAUGAAGGCUUUCGGGUUGUAAACCUAGGUCGCUAUAGAACGGGUAGGUGGAGAAGAAGCGCCGGCUAACUACGUGCCAGCAGCCGCGGUAAUAC
rnacentral:rRNA from 1 species